rnacentral:lncRNA from 1 species
GGAAGCUUUUUAUCGCUCCUUUUUUUUGAAUUUUUGAAUUUUUUUCUAUAAAAUGAUAAAAAAAAAGUUAGUAAGCAAUAGUUAUAAGAAAACUAAAGAAAUCAAACAUUAAAAUUGGUGCCUUCCCGACAAUGACGCCAAAAAUUGAUAUGAUCGCGAUGCUGUCGUUAGGACACCAUGAUUAUCAAUCAAAUUCCGACUUCAAUAAAAAUUAAAAAUAUGUAAAAAAUAGUGAGUCAGGUCUAAUCCACAGAGAAGACAGAAUUUUGAUUUGAAAUCUUUGAUUUUACAAAAAGAAAAUAAAAUUUUAGAGAAAACAAUUUAAGUCAGAA